AUUACUGGAAAAGGCAAGAGUAGAGCUAUCAGAAUGUCUUCCUUGAACAUGCUGUCAACAAACCCCAGGAUUUUUAUAAACCCUAUGUGAAAAACACGCUAAGAAUCUCUUUUCUUCUUAGCAUAUUUUUCACUUAGGGUUUACAAAAAUAUGUUUUGAAGAAAGCUUGAAAAGAUCAGUGGAAAAAAAUUCAGCACCAAAUUUUCUCUGAAAAUCAACUUGUCAAAAAAGACGUGAUUAACAUCCAUCCUGUAACCAGCACAUGAAUGAUCUUCCCUCUUUACGAGUGUGCUUCAGCAAAACUUUAAUCUCGACCCCUCCCUCUUUCCACUUUUAAUAGUGGAUGGAUGAAAAGGCAAGAGGAAAAACAAAGCAGCCGAAACACACCCAGACGCACACUUCUGCCAAGCAUAGCCACCACGUGUUAAAGAAAAUGAGAUAUAAGUCAGUUACUCCCGGAGGCAAUGCUGCUGUUCAGCUCUUCUGUUUUUGUGGCCAGGGUCUUCAUGAACACUAAUAGGGGUACCAGGCCCUCUUCCUCGUUAGAAGAAAUCAGGAUAACAAAGGCAUAUUGGGCA
rnacentral:lncRNA from 1 species